CCUGGCGGUGGAACACUCGUACAGGUUAUGUUUAUUUCCACCGUGGAAUCGCGAAAUGCAGGACAUGCGUAAUGCGAUUUAAAAUUCAGGUGCCAAUAUCUUUAUUUUUUCUCUCUGGGGUCAAGAUGUUGGCUUCCAGGACUUAGAGAGGCUGUUUACCCAGCAGCAACUAACUGUUGCCAGGUGCACUCAGAAUCUGUUGCAAGUGUGUUCUCACAAACCUCCAACACACUCUGAGGACAUUUAAGGUAAGCCUUUUUGCUUUUAUCUUAAAUGACUCUAGCCUGAAUAAGUUAAUUAUCUGUGCUGCAAGAUGGAUAAGCUAAAAAAGUGC